rnacentral:rRNA from 1 species
CCAGACUCCUACGGGAGGCAGCAGUGGGGAAUAUUGGGCAAUGGGGGAAACCCUGACCCAGCGACGCCGCGUGAGGGAAGAAGGUUUUCGGAUUGUAAACCUCUGUCCUUGGUGACGAUAAUGACGGUAGCCAAGGAGGAAGCCACGGCUGACUACGUGCCAGCAGCCGCGGUAAUACGUAGGGAGCAAGCGUUAUCCGGAUUUAUUGGGUGUAAAGGGUGCGUAGACGGGAAUUUAAGUUAGUUGUGAAACCCCUCGGCUUAACUGAGGAACUGCAACUAAAACUGAAUUUCUUGAGUGCGGGAGAGGAAAGUGGAAUUCCUAGUGUAGCGGUGAAAUGCGUAGAUAUUAGGAGGAACACCAGUGGCGAAGGCGACUUUCUGGACCGUAACUGACGUUGAGGCACGAAAGUGUGGGGAGCAAACAGGAUUAGAUACCCUCGUAC